GCGUCUGUGGUCUAGUGGUAGAAUUCUCGCCUCCCACGCGGGAGACCCGGGUUCAAUUCCCGGCGGACGCA